UCUGAUGACGAAGCUGAUUCCAUUCUACCUGACAUUCCCUCAAAUAGCAACGUAUUUCAAAAGUUGGUUAGUGCAUCGGAGCGUUCCGGAAAUAAUUCCGUACUAGCUAACCAUCCGGAUAUAACUCUUAUCAAGAAGGAAAAAACCGAUGGUCCAGUAAAUAAUAAUUCAGAUCAUUCCGAAUCGGGCAGUGAUAAGUAAGAAACAAAUUCCUCACCUGAAUCUAAAUGCAUUUCACACAUAAACCUAAAUUGAUACUGUCAAUUUAGCUGAACUUUUGUGCAAAAAUUUUCAUUGAUACGAUGAUAUGUGUGAUCAGUCAUUUUCCAUAGAUGUAUUAUAUAUUAUAUUUCAGUUUUAAGUAUUUUAUACAGACCAAAGUAAUUUAGUACUAUCGUCUCCUUAGGUGUUAAGGCAAGAUUUGUGUUCUUGGUUUAGUGAAAGGUAAAUCGUACCGUAAAACCUGAGCAAGAAUCAAAUUCUUGAAUUGUUUUUUAGUUUCAACAUUUUUUUCAAGUCAAGUCAAGUGAUAUAUCUUUUACUAUUCCCAGGCAACACCCUAUAAACUAUUUAGUAUUUGUGUUAGAUAACUGGGCUUAGAGGCGUAAGACCUGUAGUGUAAAUACGAGAAAAAAUGUGAUUUUAUAUUUGCGCUUUAAAUCAACUGUAUUAGUAUAUUUAUUUUUAUAUUCUAUCAGUAUGUUUGCAAAUACUUUAAUUUAAAUUAAUUUGUAUUUUCUUGUAGACAAUUUCUUAUAAUUGUGGUAGUGAAAUUCUAUUUAAUUACUUUGUAAAGCCAGUUUUUCUUUUGGAAUAUUGAAUAUUUGCUCUUCCGCAAUUAAGUUUAACACAUUUUUUGUUUUAUUUUAUGUUUAUUACAAAAUUAUAAUUAGAUUCAUUUAACGUAGGAGUUUAUACUAGAGGUAUUAAGGUGCUGGUACAUAACAAAUUUUUUUAUUAAUCAAUUCGAAUAUAUACUUACAACUUUUUGUCGACCGGAUAUGUUAGUCCUGUUUAAUGUAAAGUCGAGGAAAAUGAAAUAUGUAACGUAGACGAUGGACAUAUUAGUUUCUAGUGCAGUUCCAAUUUGCUGCCAUUUGGAAAGAAUUAUGUGAGCGUUCUAACAGAGUAACUAAAUAUUUAAU
rnacentral:lncRNA from 1 species